AACGAACGCUGGCGGCGUGCCUAACACAUGCAAGUCGAACGUGAUUGAAGAGCUUGCUCUUCAUGAAAGUGGCGCACGGGUGAGUAACGCGUAGAUAAUCUACCUGGUGAUUUGGGAUAACAGUUCGAAAGGACUGCUAAUACCGAAUAAGCCCACGGAGUCUUUGGAUUCUGCGGGAAAAGGGGGGGACCUUAUGGCCUUCCGUCAUCAGAUGAGUCUGCGUACCAUUAGCUAGUUUGUAGGGUAAAGGCCUACCAAGGCGACGAUGGUUAGCUGGUCUGAGAGGAUGAUCAGCCACACUGGAACUGAGACACGGUCCAGACUCCUACGGGAGGCAGCAGUGGGGAAUUUUGCGCAAUGGGGGAAACCCUGACGCAGCAACGCCGCGUGAGUGAUGAAGGCCCUUGGGUCGUAAAGCUCUGACAGAGGGAAAGAAAUGCAGGGGAGCUAAUAUCUCCUUUGCUUGACGGUACCCUCAAAGGAAGCACCGGCUAACUCCGUGCCAGCAGCCGCCGCGGUAA
rnacentral:rRNA from 1 species